rnacentral:rRNA from 1 species
GACAGAGGGUGCAAACGUUUGUUCGGAAUUACUGGGCGUAAAGCGCGUGUAGGCUGCUCCGCAAGUCGGAUGUGAAAGCCCUGGGCUCAACCUAGGAAGUGCAUUCGAUACUGCGGAGCUGGAGUCCUGGAGAGGAAGGCGGAAUUCUCGGUGUAGAGGUGAAAUUCGUAGAUAUCGAGAGGAACACCGGUGGCGAAGGCGGCCUUCUGGACAGUGACUGACGCUGAGACGCGAAAGCGUGGGGAGCAAACAGG